AGGACCGACCAUAUCAGCACUAUUGCAUGGGAUUCCAUCAGAACUCCAAAGUUAAGCGUGCUUGGGCGAGAAUAGUUCUAAGAUGGGCUUGUCUUA
rnacentral:rRNA from 1 species